CCUACGGGAGGCAGCAGUAGGGAAUCUUCCACAAUGGGCGAAAGCCUGAUGGAGCAACGCCGCGUGGGUGAAGAAGGUCUUCGGAUCGUAAAACUCUGUUGUUAGAGAAGAAAGUGCGUGAGCGUAUCUGUUCACGUUUCGACGGUAUCUAACCAGAAAGCCACGGCUAACUACGUGCCAGCAGCCGCGGUAAUACGUAGGUGGCAAGCGUUAUCCGGAUUUAUUGGGCGUAAAGGGAACGCAGGCGGUCUUUUAAGUCUGAUGUGAAAGCCUUCGGCUUAACCGGAGUAGUGCAUUGGAAACUGGCAGACUUGAGUGCAGAAGAGGAGAGUGGAACUCCAUGUGUAGCGGUGAAAUGCGUAGAUAUAUGGAAGAACACCAGUGGCGAAGGCGGCUCUCUGGUCUGUAACUGACGCUGAGGUUCGAAAGCGUGGGUAGCAAACAGGAUUAGAUACCCUUGUAGUC
rnacentral:rRNA from 1 species